CUCCGGGCAGAGCGCGUGUGGCGGCCGAGCACAUGGGCCCGCGGGCCGGGCGGGCUCGGGGCGGCCGGGACGAGGAGGGGCGACGACGAGCUGCGAGCAAAGAUGUGCCCCGGGACCCCCGGCACCUUCCAGUGGAUUUCCUUGCGGAAAGGAUGUUGGCGGUCCCUGUGACCUGUGGAGACACGGCCAGAUCUGCCCUCCAGCCUGAUCUUUUGGCCAGAAGGAGAUUAAAAAGAUGCCCCUCAAGAUGGCUGUGCCUGUCAGCUGCAUGGAGCUUCGUUCAAGUAUUUUCUGAGCCUGAUGGAUUUACAGUGAUCUUCAGUGGUCUGGGGAAUAACGCUGGUGGAACCAUGCACUGGAAUGACACACGCCCGGCACAUUUCAGGAUACUAAAAGUGGUUUUAAGGGAGGCUGUGGCUGAAUGCCUCAUGGAUUCUUACAGCUUGGAUGUCCAUGGGGGACGAAGGACUGCAGCUGGCUGAGAGGGUUGAGAUCUCUGUUUACUUAGAUCUCUGCCAACUUCCUUUGGGUCUCCCUAUGGAAUGUAAGACCCCGACUCUUCCUGGUGAAGCAUCUGAUGCACGUUCCAUCCGGCGCUCAGCUGGGCUUGAGCUGACCAUACUCCCUGGAGCCUUCUCCCGAGGUGCGCGGGUGACCUUGGCACAUACAGCCAUCAUGAUGGUACUUUAAGUGGAGGCUGAAUCAUCUCCCCUUUGAGCUGCUUGGCACGUGGCUCCCUUGGUGUUCCCCUUUUACUGCCAGGACACUGAGAUUUGGAGAGAAUCCUGUUACACCUGGGAUUUAGGCACUUUCAAUCUGAAAAAAUACAUAUCCUUUCAGCACUCUGGACGGACUUGAGAACUGUCCUUACGUGACCUAAAGCUGGAGUAUUUUGAGAUUGGAGAAUUAAGGCCAACAGAGAUUUUGAGAAACACAUUGAAGGAUCUGUUAACACUUGAUAUACCCAAUAAAAGCAGUGGUUGUGCCAGUGCUGAUCUGUCUUGAUGUGAAUGUGAACAAUGGGAACCUGAGCUGAGCAGUUAAUGCUAGGGUGACAGAAACUGGACCUCUCCCAAGACAUGUGACAGAGUAAUACAGCAGCCAACUUCUUCGCCAAAUUAAAGUUUUACAAGAUUUAACCUGUCAUCAAGACCUGGGAUUUUGGUGAAGGACAGAAUAACGGGCUCCCAGAUUCACAAGCCCCACCAAGAGGAUCACCCCAGGAACGCUUGGAGGCUGAGGAGUUCACUGAGGCUACUGCAUCUUGAGACUCAGGAUGAAGACCCAGCUUGGGGCUGUCAAAGGUUUUUUGCAUGUCUGACACCCAUGACUCCACCUGGACCUUAUGGCUCCACCCAGAAGCAAUUCAGCCCAACAGGAGGACAGCUUCAACCCAUUACGAUUUCAUCUCUGCCCCAACCACUCAGCAGCAAGCACCUGUUACCUGUCCACCCCCACCCCUUCCCCCAAACUGCCUUUGAAAAAUCCCUAACCUAUGAGCUUUGAAUAAGAUGAGUACGAACUUCAUCGCCCACGUGGCGUGGCCGGCCUCGUGUCUAUUAAAUUCUUUUUCUACUACAA
rnacentral:lncRNA from 1 species